UACAGAGGUCCCAAGCGUUGUUCGGAUUUACUGGGCGUAAAGGGAGCGUAGGUGGCAUUCUAAGUCUGAUGUGAAAGCUCUGAGCUUAACUCAGAAAUGGCAUUAGAUACUAGUUUGCUUGAGGAUUGGAGGGGAGACUGGAAUUCUCGGUGUAGCAGUGAAAUGCGUAGAUAUCGAGAGGAACACCAGUGGCGAAGGCGAGUCUCUGGACAAUUCCUGACACUGAUGCUCGAAAGCUAGGGGAGCAAACGGG
rnacentral:rRNA from 1 species